UUCCGUAGGGGUAACCUGCGGAGGGAUCAUUACCGAGUUUACAACUCCCAAACCCCUGUGAACAUACCUUUAUGUUGCCUCGGCGGAUCAGCCCGCGCCCCGUAAAACGGGACGGCCCGCCGCAGGAACCACAAAACUCUGAUUUUAGUGUAACUUCUGAGUCUAAAAAACAAAUAAAUCAAAACUUUCAACAACGGAUCUCUUGGUUCUGGCAUCGAUGAAGAACGCAGCAAAAUGCGAUAAGUAAUGUGAAUUGCAGAAUUCAGUGAAUCAUCGAAUCUUUGAACGCACAUUGCGCCCGCCAGUAUUCUGGCGGGCAUGCCUGUUCGAGCGUCAUUUCAACCCUCAAGCCCCCGGGUUUGGUGUUGGGGAUCGGGCUGUACUCCAGCCCGGCCCCGAAAUCUAGUGGCGGUCUCGCUGCAGCCUCCAUUGCGUAGUAGCUAACACCUCGCAACUGGAACGCGGCGCGGCCAAGCCGUUAAACCCCCAACUUCUGAAUGUUGACCUCGGAUCAGGUAGGAAUACCCGCUGAACUUAAGCAUAUCAAUAAGCGGAGGAA
rnacentral:rRNA from 1 species